CAAGUAGACGGGGUGAUCGCAGGCGCUGUGAGCGCUUGAGGAAAGUCCGAGCUCCACAGGGCGGGGUGCUGGGUAACGCCCAGUGGGGGUAACCCCAAGGAUAGUGCCACAGAAAACAAACCGCCUUCGCUUUGCGUGGGUAAGGGUGAAACGGUGAGGUAAGAGCUCACCAGUAUCACCGGUGACGGUGAUAGCUCGGUAAACCCCACUCGGAGAAAGACCAAAUAGAAGAGGAGAAGCGGCCCGCUUCGUUUGACUCUCGGGUAGGUCGAUUGAGGCCGGUGGCGACGCCGGUCCCAGAUAAAUGAUCACCACCUCCCACUUUUAGGUGAGGGACAGAACUCGGCUUACAAGUCUACUUGGCCG
rnacentral:RNase_P_RNA from 1 species